rnacentral:sRNA from 1 species
CCCCAUGCUGACGCAUGGGGCUACAUGCUAUCGCGGCUCCGCCGCU